AGGUAUUUUUCUUUCACUUUUUCUUUUCUUUACAGGCUUUUGGCCCGUUUUACUGCCAAAGCUCACUGUGAGGCCUGAGCACAUGUGGUUUACUCUUUAAACAUAGUCCGUGCUGAAAAAAGACUUUACCUCAGAAGCAAAACAACACGGCUCUCAGCUCAUUGGCUAAUCAUUGCAGGCUGGCCAGGCCUUCCGUGCUCAAGAACGACACCAGAGCGAUCCUGGCUCUGUGAGAAGGCCUUGAAACCCAGCCUGAAGAGAACCAUGCAGCUCCAACAGCUGCUUACCGCCUGAAACAAGUCCUGCCCUGAAAGGAAGCAAGAAGGAAACCGGCUCAUCCAGCUCGGCCUCUGCCCUCACAUAUUUAUAAACACCUGCACCUCCUCAUAGCACACAAGACAAUUUCAGACUUUUCUGAGAUUUACACUUUGUCAUUGCAACUCAAAGAGCAGCAUGUACAUCAUUUACCACCUCUGUGGGUUCAAAUGAACUUUAACACUUAACUGCAGCAACUUUACUAGCAAAUACUGUGUUCCUUCGCUUUAAUACAGUUAACUAUUGGCAGCCUUGCUAUUUCACUAAUUUUUUUCAGUGAAACUUAGCUUACUUUUUUUUUAAUAGCAUUCUGUGUUCUGCAUUCUGAUUUGCAGUAGACCCUGUCAAUCUCCUCUAUGCCUUGUCUCCUGUACGGAAAGCGUUCACUUUGCCACAUUUAUAUAAAUCUUUGCUGGCAAUCAGACUUUUGUUUCCAUUCUAUAAAACUGGACUUAUUUAGAUAAGAGAGAAAAGUGUAAAAAUGUUCAUGUCUGUUUGAGAAAAGUAUAUAAAGUAGGAAGUGAGUUUUACAACUUAAUCUGUCAGAGGAAGAUACCACUACUCACAAUAAAAAGUAAUUGUUCUCUUUUUUAAUAUUUUUUCUUUAAGAAACAUGACAAAAAGAAAUCAAUACGGAACAUUUUGACAGGAAAGCAGCCUUACAAAGAUCCCCCAUCAUGAAAAUAGGUCUGUUUUCAUACAGGACAGACCAAAAGUUUGGACACACCUUUUUCAAAGAGUUUUCUUUAUUUUCAUGACUAUGAACAUUGUAAAGUCACACUGAAGGAAUCAAAACUAUGAAUUAACACAUGUGGAAUUAUAUACCUAACAAAAA
rnacentral:lncRNA from 1 species